GCACCGAGGGGGGGGCAGAGGGGUCCUGGGAUGGGUCCUCAUCAGCCCAUGUGACGGGGACCCCCCCAUGCCGCAGCAGCUCCUGCGCUGUUCCCCAACUGAACCUCACCAGCCCUGGGAACCCAAACACGGGCUGCAGGUUCCUCCUCAGCCACUCCUUCGUUUUGGGGUCAUUGGGGUACCCCGAGCCGUAGUCACGGUCGAUGUCAUCCCCCAAAUCCUCUGUGAAGUUCCAACACUUCACUGCGCGGUCACGGGCGACCUUGGCACAGAUGCUGGCAGCGCUGACGAUGGGGAAGAGGGCAUCAGCUUUGGGGCGCACGGUGACCUCCAGCCCCGGGAAUCGACCCCGCAGCUUCGCCUCAUACUUCUCUGCUGGCCCCACUGUGUCCACAAACACCUCAGCCACCUGCACCCCAUUAUCCAGCGCGUGCUGGAUGAGCUGCAUGGCGGUGUCAUGGGACAGCUCGUUCAGGUUGUACUUUGCCCUCUGCUGCAUGCAGGCGGAGAUGUGCUGGGGGGGCAACACCUGCAGCGCCCACCCAAGCAGCCCCCCCGCCGCCUCCAACAGCCCAAAGCGCCGCUCGCGCUCCGCCUCCGACAGCGUCUUCGAGUCUGCCACCCCCAGCGCCUCCAGCUCCUGCAGUUCCUCCUUGGGGCAAUAGCAGACCGCGUACACCAUCGGGCCCAACACCGGACCCCUCCCCGCCUCGUCCACCCCCAGCACGCAGGGGCGGCUCCGGCACGGGGGGGGACGGGGGAGGCGAAGAGCCCCCCGCCCGCCGGGUCCCGCUCCAACUCCGCCAGCG
rnacentral:lncRNA from 1 species